rnacentral:rRNA from 1 species
CCUACGGGGGGCAGCAGUAAGGAAUAUUGGUCAAUGGAGGCAACUCUGAACCAGCCAUGCCGCGUGCAGGAAGACGGCCUAUGGGUUGUAAACUGCUUUUAUCUGGGAAUAUGUACCAGAAGAAUAAGGAUCGGCUAACUCCGUGCCAGCAGCCGCGGUAAUACGGAGGAUCCAAGCGUUAUCCGGAUUUAUUGGGUUUAAAGGGUGCGUAGGCGGCCUGUUAAGUCAGAGGUGAAAGACGGUAGCUCAACUAUCGCAGUGCCUUUGAUACUGACGGGCUUGAAUGAACUAGAGGUAGGCGGAAUGAGACAAGUAGCGGUGAAAUGCAUAGAUAUGUCUCAGAACACCGAUUGCGAAGGCAGCUUACUAUGGUUUAUUGACGCUGAGGCACGAAAGCGUGGGGAUCAAACAGGAUUAGAUACCCCAGUAGUC